UACGUAGGGGGGCUAGCGUUGUCCGGAAUCAUUGGGCGUAAAGAGCGUGUAGGCGGCCCGGUAAGUCCGCUGUGAAAGUCGGGGGGCUCAACCCUCGAAUGCCGGUGGAUACUGUCGGGCUAGAGUGCGGAAGAGGCGAGUGGAAUUCCUGGUGUAGCGGUGAAAUGCGCAGAUAUCAGGUGGAACACCAGUGGCGAAGGCGAGUCCCUGGAAAACUCCUGACACUGAGGCACGAAAGCUAGGGGAGCAAACAGG
rnacentral:rRNA from 1 species